UUCCAAAAAAAAUUCCAUACUUACUUCAGAAGCUACCUUUAAGAGUAAAAACUUACUUAAAAAAAUUUUUUUUAUUUUAGAUUUAGGGGGUAUAUGUGCAUGUCUGGUAUAUAUGUAUAUUGUGUAUUGGUGGGGACUGGGCUUCUAGUAUACCCAUUACCCAAACAGUGAACAUUGUACCCAGUAGGUUGUUCUUCACCCCUUGUUCUUUUCCCACCUUUCCCCCUUUUGGAGUCCCCAGUGUCUAUUAUUUCCAUCUUUAUGUCCGUGUGUACCUACUGUUUGGCUCCCACUUAUGAGUGAGAAUGUGCAGUGUUUGAUUUUCUGUUUCUGAGUUAGUUCAUUAAGGAUAAUUGGCCUCCAGCUCCAAUCAUGUUGCUGCAAAGGACAUGACUUGAUUCUUUUUAUGCCUGCAUAGUAUUCCAUG
rnacentral:lncRNA from 10 species